UACAGGGGGGGCAAGCGUUGUUCGGAAUUACUGGGCGUAAAGGGCUCGUAGGUGGCCAACUAAGUCAGACGUGAAAUCCCUCAGCUUAACUGGGGAACUGCGUCUGAUACUGGAUGGCUUGAGUUUGGGAGAGGGAAGCGGAAUUCCCGGUGUAGUGGUGAAAUGCGUAGAUAUCGGGAGGAACACCAGUGGCGAAGGCGGCUUCCUGGCCUGUUCUUGACGCUGAGGCGCGAAAGCUAGGGGAGCAAACGGG
rnacentral:rRNA from 1 species